rnacentral:lncRNA from 1 species
UAACCCUCCUCCAGAUUGAAUAUCUGGCAGCUCUAAGAAUUCUUAUCUCUUUGGUGCAGAGAUCCAAAAUUGCUGUGUAUGAGAAAAUGUGGUCUUACAUGAAAUCAGCGGAGCCAUCUGUGUUUACCAAAACAACAGCAGACGGAGUGGCCCGAGUGCGAAAGUCCAAGGGAAAGUUCGCCUUCCUGCUGGAGUCAACCAUGAAUGAGUACAUUGAGCAGAGAAAACCAUGUGAUACGAUGAAAGUUGGUGGAAAUCUGGAUUCCAAAGGCUAUGGUGUGGCAACCCCUAAAGGCUCAGCAUUAAGAAAUGCUGUUAACCUGGCAGUAUUAAAACUGAAUGAGCAAGGCCUCUUGGACAAAUUGAAAAACAAAUGGUGGUACGACAAAGGAGAGUGCGGCAGCGGGGGCGGUGACUCCAAGAACGCCUGUAAACCUUGCAGUAUUGAAACUCAGUGA